CCUGACACGGGGGAACCGUCGUGGAAGGAGAAGCCGGCGGAGGCAGAGUCAGUCACGAUGGAAGGCGCGCUAUUCGCCUGGCGAAGCGGAAGGAACGAAACCGAGAAGGAAACAACUGAAAUCAGGUUACGUCACUCGGGGAAUGAAAACGCUACCCUCGGCAGCACCCACACGACAGUCGGCCGCGACGACAAAAGAAAGGAAGGAAGGAAGGAAGGAAGGAAGGACCGUCGCAGGACGAACGGCGAGCCGGGGGCGGGGGCGGUGCCGUUGAUACUUACCGCAUUUUUUCGUCAUUAUCCGUCGCCGUUGCCGUUGGAGGGAUAAGAUCAGCGAGCCGCUGAGACGGAGGCCCGGGAUCCGCCGCGGGAGGCUGCGGAUUAUUACACGCACAAUAGGCGUCGCGGGAAGUCGAAGGUGAGAUGGAGUCUAAUCUUUUUGUAAAAGUCAAA